AGACCCGAAACCCGGUGAUCUAGCCAUGGGCAGGUUGAAGGUUGGGUAACACUAACUGGAGGACCGAACCGACUAAUGUUGAAAAAUUAGCGGAUGACCUGUGGCUGGGGGUGAAAGGCCAAUCAAACCGGGAGAUAGCUGGUUCUCCCCGAAAGCUAUUUAGGUAGCGCCUCGUGAAUUCAUCUCCGGGGGUAGAGCACUGUUUCGGCUAGGGGGCCAUCCCGGCUUACCAACCCGAUGCAAACUGCGAAUACCGGAGAAUGUUAUCACGGGAGACACACGGCGGGUGCUAACGUCCGUCGUGAAGAGGGAAACAACCCAGACCGCCAGCUAAGGUCCCAAAGUCAUGGUUAAGUGGGAAACGAUGUGGGAAGGCCCAGACAGCCAGGAUGUUGGCUUAGAAGCAGCCAUCAUUUAAAGAAAGCGUAAUAGCUCACUGGUCGAGUCGGCCUGCGCGGAAGAUGUAACGGGGCUAAACCAUGCACCGAAGCUGCGGCAGCGACGCUGAUGCGUUGUUGGGUAGGGGAGCGUU
rnacentral:rRNA from 2 species